AUUCGAGUUAACCCAUGCCCCAUAUUUUAUGCAAUGUCAUUAGAUCUUUAAUCAUACUUCUAGAUUUAAAAUAUAUUUCUUAAUUCUUAAUUAAGUAUAGCAUUAACAUGGGUUAAGAUUAUUAAUUAAAAUAAUUUUAAUUUUAUAAAAUAAUUUUACAUCAAUUUUUUGCAAAUUUUUUUUGAUAUAAAAACUAGAUU
rnacentral:lncRNA from 1 species